AAUAUUGGACAAUGGAGGGAACUCUGACGCAGCGACGCCGCGUGAGCGAUGAAGGUCUUCGGAUCGUAAAGCUCUGUCCUUGGGGAAGAAGUGCUUCGGACUUGACGGUACCUGCAGAAUAAGCACCGGCUAACUACGUGCCAGCAGCCGCGGUAAUACGUAGGGUGCAAGCGUUAAUCGGAAUUACUGGGCGUAAAGCGUGCGCAGGCGGUUCGGCAAGAAGGAUGUGAAAUCCCAGGGCUUAACCUUGGAACUGCAUUCUUAACUGCCGGGCUAGAGUAUGUCAGAGGGGGGUAGAAUUCCGCGUGUAGCAGUGAAAUGCGUAGAGAUGCGGAGGAAUACCGAUGGCGAAGGCAGCCCCCUGGGAUAAUACUGACGCUCAUGCACGAAAGCGUGGGGAGCAAAC
rnacentral:rRNA from 1 species